AACGUCGUGAGACAGUUCGGUCCCUAUCUGCCGUGGGUGUAGGAUACUUGAGAGGAGUUGCCCCUAGUACGAGAGGACCGGGGUGAACGGACCACUGGUGGACCUGUUGUGGCGCCAGCCGCAGUGCAGGGUAGCUAUGUUCGGAAAGGAUAACCGCUGAAGGCAUCUAAGCGGGAAGCCCCCCUCAAAACAAGGUAUCCCUGAGGACCGUGGUAGACCACCACGUCGAUAGGCCAGAGAUGUAAGUGCAGCAAUGCAUUCAGUUGA
rnacentral:rRNA from 1 species